rnacentral:rRNA from 1 species
CCUACGGGGGGCUGCAGUCGAGAAUAUUCCACAAUGGGCGAAAGCCUGAUGGAGCGACGCCGCGUGACUGAAGAAGUCCUUCGGGAUGUAAAGGUCUUUUCUCCGGGACGAAACAAUGACGGUACCGGAGGAAUAAGAGGUUGCUAACUCUGUGCCAGCAGCAGCGGUAAUACAGAGACCUCAAGCGUUAUCCGGAUUGAUUGGGCGUAAAGAGUGCGUAGGUGGCUUCUUAAGCCGAUGGUUAAAUUUUCCAGCUCAACUGGGAAACCGCCGUCGGAACUGGGAAGCUAGAGUAUGGAAGGGGUGAGCGGAAUUGCCGGUGUAACGGUAAAAUGUGUUAAUAUCGGCAAGAACACCAGAGGCGUAGGCGGCUCACUAGUACAUAACUGACACUGAUGCACGAAAGCGUGGGGAGCGAAUGGGAUUAGAUACCCCUGUAGUC